rnacentral:rRNA from 1 species
UUGCACGCUGGCGGCAUGCUUUACACAUGCCAGUCGAACGGUAACAGGCCUUCGGGUGCUGACGAGUGGCGACCGGGUGAGUAAUGCAUCGGAACGUACCCAGAGGUGGGGGAUAACGCAGCGAAAGCUGUGCUAAUACCGCAUGUGAUCUGAGGAUGAAAGCGGGGGACCGAGCAGCAAUGUUUGGCCUCGCGCCUUUGGAGCGGCCGAUGUCGGAUUAGCUAGUUGGUGGGGUAAAGGCCUACCAAGGCGACGAUCCGUAGCUGGUCUGAGAGGACGACCAGCCACACUGGGACUGAGACACGGCCCAGACUCCUACGGGAGGCAGCAGUGGGGAAUUUUGGACAAUGGGCGCAAGCCUGAUCCAGCAAUGCCGCGUGCGGGAAGAAGGCCUUCGGGUUGUAAACCGCUUUUGGCAGGAACGAAACGGUGUCCGCUAAUACCGGGCGCUAAUGACGGUACCUGCAGAAUAAGCACCGGCUAACUACGUG